GCUACUGUGGCUCAGUGGUAGAGCAGCGCAUUCGUAAUGCGCAGGCCGUGAGUUCGAAUCUCACCAGUAGCUCCA
rnacentral:tRNA from 1 species